UUGAAUGUAAGGCUAUGAUUCUCAGUGAUGUAAGAGAAUCCAGCUAUUCCUCUAACGGUUAUAUAGCACACACUGUGCUUGCCCGAAAUGUGGCAGAGAGAAUACAAUAGAAAAUACAAAAAAAACUUAUUUUUGAUUCAGCUCUUCUCCCUUCUCUCUUCUCUCUGUAUAUUUUUCCUAAACUCUAACAAUACACCCCUUUUUCGGUUGCCCCUAUCUCACGCACCCCAAACACUGUCCCCAUAAGCCUGAACCCCUCAAGUUAGAUCUGG
rnacentral:lncRNA from 1 species